UACGUAGGGUGCGAGCGUUAAUCGGAAUUACUGGGCGUAAAGCGUGCGCAGGCGACGCCGCAAGUCGAGUGUGAAAUCCCCGAGCUUAACUUGGGAAUUGCGCUCGAAACUACGGUGCUGGAGUGUGGCAGAGGGAGGUGGAAUUCCACGUGUAGCGGUGAAAUGCGUAGAGAUGUGGAGGAACACCGAUGGCGAAGGCAGCCUCCUGGGCCAACACUGACGCUUAUGCACGAAAGCGUGGGGAGCAAACAGG
rnacentral:rRNA from 1 species